GGUCUUUCUGCAGGGAACAUACUUUUGGUGUUCAGAGCCAUGAUCAGCUGCACGUUACCAAGAUCUGUGGUACAGACCACAGUGGAAACUCAGCCUACAUCUACCUUACGUUUCUUCAAGUCUGGACUUACCUCAACAAGCAGGGAGUCAGUGAGGGUGCCUGGAAGCUCUGCAAGAACUAUUUGGAUCAUUUCUAGUUUCUGAAGAAAUGAAGAAAUGGUGCAUCUGGAUCACUGCCUCAAGAGGAUUUUGACAUAAGAGGACAGGCAUUAUUUGAAUUGACCAGAAUAAGUAGAGUUUAUGGAUACGCCCAGACUUUUGAGUGGGUACCACAAAAACAGCAGUUUCUGGCCCAAGUCUGCUCUGAGAACCAGGCCCACAUACCUCUCAUGCUGUUAAGAUCUCAUCAGAGAUGAGAAACCACAGCAUGUCCACUCCUAUGUGGAGCCAGUUAGAUGGAUCAAAUACAGGCUGGCUGAAGACAGGCACCCUGAAAAACAUUAAGUAAGGAUUCAUUUGACCUAAAUGUGGCCAUAUAAAACACUAGGUGCCUGGUCUUAGCCAGCUGUCCAUCCUUUCCUUAUAGACAAUGGCAGGAGGGAUGUCCAGGGGAUGAGUCAUCCCAAUCUAUUAUAAAUACCUACAGCAAAUGGAAGGAGUCAGCCUCCAGAAAGGCCCAUCUCUCCCCACUACCUACAUAGCAAGCCCACACCAGCAAUUUAGACCAGAAACCCAACUGCACUAUGCAUAAUGUGGAAUAAUUCCACCCAAAAUUAUUCCCCUUGAGCAGGGCUUCACGCCCUUGGCAGAAAGGCAGCAUAAGGCCUUUUUCAGCACAAAGGGGAACGUCACACAAACCAAGCCACAAACAGACAAGCUGUGGCCAAUCCGAUGCAGCUGUCAAAGCCAAACAAGUUUACCUUCAGAUCGUGCUGUAUGCCCACUCCUCCUUCGACUAGGUGCUAAGGGAAGAUCAAGGUGUAAAGGCUGCUGGCUGGGAGGCAGGCACCCUUGUUGUUUUCAUAAAAUCAUAGAAUCAUUUCAUUUGGAAGGAACCCUUAAAGACCACCUAAUCCAACUCCCUUAAAAUGAAUAGGGAUACCUACAGCUUGAUCAGGUGCCCAGAGCCCCAACCAGCCUGACUUUGACUGUCUCCAGGGACAGGGCAUCCACCACAUCUCUGGGCAACCUGUUCCAGUGCUAUCUGCAAGACUGUGUUAAUCAGGGUGAUAGAGGUGUAGGAACUGGGUCUGCAGACACAGUCCUGUACUGAAAACCAGAGGAACUACUGC
rnacentral:lncRNA from 1 species